GACCCAAUGAUUGUUGAUUCGGCAAAUUGUUAUGAAUCUCUACACAUCUCUUCUAUCGUGGAAGCAUUGGAAGAAUUAGUGUCAUGAUGUGUAAUGAGACUAUCAGAUUCGUGGAAUUUUGACUAAUUUGAUCAGAUAAUGUUAUUGUGGUCUUGUGAAUAUAGUGGUGCAAGGUGUGAAUUCAGUUAAGGUAUGAAAUCAUGUUUUGGUGCUGCGUGUAGUUAUUGAUAAAUUGAGCGUAUGUUGGAAACAAGCCUGGCAAAAAUUACCGGAUGUAGGAAUUGGGCUCUAAGGCUUAUUUGCUUUAGUGAAAAAUGAUAUCUUCAGAUUGAUC
rnacentral:lncRNA from 1 species